CAGUCCCGCGGUAAUACGUAGGGGGCAAGCGUUAUCCGGAAUUACUGGGUGUAAAGGGAGCGUAGACGGUUAAACAAGUCUGAAGUGAAAUGCCGGGGCUCAACCCCGGAGCUGCUUUGGGAACUGUAGAACUGGAGUGUCGGAGGGGUAAGCGGAAUUCCCAGUGUAGCGGUGAAAUGCGUAGAUAUUGGGAGGAACACCGAUGGCGAAGGCAGCCCCCUGGGCCAAUACUGACGCUCAUGCACGAAAGCGUGGGGAGCAAACAGGAUUAGAUACCCGCGUAGUCCCUGUCUCUUAUACC
rnacentral:rRNA from 1 species